rnacentral:lncRNA from 1 species
GUUAAGUUUAUGAUAAUCUUGUGUUUAUUUUUGUUAAUAAAUUUGUGUGUAGUUUGCUUUUGCGUCCGCCUCCUCGUCCUUCCCGCACCCUACCUGACAGAAGGAUCGACCAAAUAUGGACGCAGCGAACAGUCCUCUGCUCGGGUCCAGGAUGGCCAUCCGCCGUGCCCCCUUCGGCACCCUGGCGCAGGAGACCAUGAGGCACCGAAGCCGGAGGAAGCCUCGGGGUAAGCGCUCUAAAGGGUCCCGCCUGCCGGAGGAAGAACUCUUCAUGGGGGAGGAUUUUCUUCGGGGGGCGCUACGGGUUGGUGCGGUGAGCCUCGGGUCUCGUCCCGUGUUAGGCAGUAGCCAUGAGAACCCGAGGCUGGUGACGCGCAGCCCGUGGGACUACCUGGGAUGUGCACCCAGUAGCUCCGAGGAGGAGGAGGAGCUCUACCCCACACCAGCCCGCACUCCAUUGCCGUUUCCCCCAGGGGCUGUACUCUACCCGGCGCCGCGCUCCGUGACUCUCGCGGUCGAAACGCAGCGCUCCGUGAAGCCCGCGGCCGAGACACCGCGCUCCGUGAAGCCCGCGGCUGAGACGGCGCGCUCCGUGACUCUCGCGGCUGAAACGCCAUGCUCCGUGACUCUCGUGGUCGAAACGCCGCGCUCCGUUAAGCCCGCGGUCGAAACGCCACGCUCCGUGACUCCCGUGGCUCAUCCGCGCUCCUCGACUCCUGCCACCCCUGAACCUGCAUAUGCUGCUCCCACAGCCCCGGAACCUGCAUACACUGCAGUACCAGCAGUUUCAGGCUCUGCUCCAGCUCCAGCACCAGCAGCUCCCGCUGCUCCAGCUCCAGCACCAGCAGCUCCCGCUGCUCCAGCACCAGCAGUGCCUGCCGCCCACGUGGUACCCACUGCCUCUGACCCUGUGCUUGCGGCUUCGGCCGCCUCUGAUCCUGUGCCCGCUCCCAGAACAAUGUUUGGCCCCAGGCCCCGUGUUUCUAGGCCUGCCCCGAGGCCUCCUGACUUUGCCCCCAGUAAUGUGUAACCCUCUUGUGUUUUUUGUGCCCCUGUCUCUCCCUGUCAUGGUUCCCGUGUCUGUCCAUGUUCCAGUUCCUGUUCCUGUGGUUUCUCUGUUCCUGUCCCUGUU